CCUACGGGAGGCAGCAGUGAGGAAUCUUGGUCAAUGGGCGUAAGCCUGAACGAGCAAAGCCGCGUGAGGGAUGAAGGUUCUAUGGAUCGUAAACCCCUUUUAUAAGGGAGUAAAGUGUGGGACGUGUCCUAUUUUGUUUCUACCUUAUGAAUACGGAUCGGCUAACUCCGUGCCAGCAGCCGCGGUAAUGUGGAGGAUGCGAGCGUUAUCCGGUUUGAUUGGGUUUAAGGGGAGCGCAGGCGGAAUGUCAAGUCAGCGGUAAAAUUUCGGGGCUCAACGCCGUCGUGCCGUGGAAACUGGCGUUCUUGAGUGAACGAGAAGUAUGCGGAACGCGUGGUGUAGCGGUGAAAUGCAUAGAUAUCUCGCAGAACUCCGAUUGCGAAGGCAGCAUACCGGCGCUCAACUGACGCUCAUGCACGAAAGCGUGGGUAUCGAACAGGAUUAGAUACCCCUGUAGUC
rnacentral:rRNA from 1 species